CCUGAUGAACAAACAUUGACCUAUGAUUUAAGAAAACUGGAAAAAAGCAGAGAAAAAAGAAAAGAGUCCAGAGCAACAAUGUAAUCAUCCAACCCAUGUCACAUUUUGUUAAUAAUGCAUGUAUAACAGAGAACAUUUGAAUGAAAAGAAGAGUAACAGCAUGUCAUACAUCCCAGAUCAAACAAGCAAUAGACGAAUUAACUGUUAUUAAUGGAUGACAAUUGAUAAAACUAAUUGACCAAUUUCAUACACGUGUUAAAGAGACUAUGCCAAACAAAUAUAACAACCUAAACAUUAUAUAGAUUUUGAUUUUGCUAAUGAAAAUAUAUGCGCUAAUAAAAAGGUACACUUGUUAGAUAUAUGAUUUGCAGAGUAAAUAAAACAAGAGAAGACUAUCGCUUUUCAAUUUUUUUCCCCAAUCAAUAAUUGCUUUUUGCUGGCAAAAUAAUAAUAACAAGAGGGAGAACAAAGCAGGAGAGGGGAGGGGGAGGGAAGCUAAUCAAACGGAUCAUUAGUUUUAAGCUUUUAGCAAAACCAUUAACAUGUAAACAAACAUUGCCAAAGCAAUAAUAAACAAAAGAACUAUGAAAGUCCUUUUAGAUCAGAGAUCUUACAGAUAUUAAUAUAAAGGCACUAUUAUGCAUUUGAUUUGUGAUCAACAUACAGCAAGCAAUAUUGAUAUUUAUACCCAAUAACAAAAGCAAGCGUUGAACUGAUGAUUCCGAUAAAAAAUAUCAACCAAUCUAGUGAAACAGUAUAAAAUAUGCACAUAUACAAUAUCAUAUCUAGUGAACGGUUAAGACAAUUUACAUCAAAUAAAUUAUUAACUUUCAACAAAUCUAAGCUAAUAAUGACUUUAGCUUCAACCAAACCCACAAAUCAUAAAACUCUAUAAACACAAACCAAAAUCCCUAGAAAUUCCAAACCUAAAGCCAAAACCCAAUGUUGCAUCGACUAAUCCAAACAAUAUGUAGCUAAAACACACGUACAAAAAUAUCUCAAAACCGAAAGAAAAGACGAUUCAGAGAUCUGAAACGAUUUCGUAACAAAUCAGAGUUCCAAUCGAGCCAAAACAGUUUCAAUCGGAAGACGAACGCUACAAAACUCGAAGAUAUACCACCAAACAAACGAAGAAGAUAACCAACAAAACACAACAAGAAACAACAAUCGAUGAAAAUAAAAUCAAUUAUCGAUUAAAGAUUCAGAGAACUUUUACCUUAUAAUGAAGAAAAUAGAGGGGCUAGAGAUGGAUGGGUCUCUAUUGUAAACGUCCGCGUGAGAGAUUGUGGGAUGAAUUGGGGGAGAGCAAGGCUUUUAUAUACGCCAAGGAGGUAGAGAGAGAGUGUAGGUUUCUAGGGCAAACUCAGCCUCCU
rnacentral:misc_RNA from 1 species